ACGCGGCGCAGCUCCCAAAGUUGCAGACAGCCCGGCGAACCGCGCAAUGCGCUUCUUCUGCCUGCAGCAGAGAAAAGGAAAGAAAACUCCGCAGGGGCUCCGUUGGCUUCUCCACGAGUGACAACCAUGUUUUCCCAGAUAGAAGACCGGAGCCCUGCUCCUUUGCGAUCCGCCGAGGGCUGCAGAGAGCAUCCUCAUCCAUUUGGGCACCCCUGCCCAGGAAGAGCCCGGCCAUCCCUUUCCGGACUGGAUCCUUAAGAGGUGAAUUUUCUUCCGUGGAUUCCGAUUUGCUCCGUCUGACCAGCCUAGGCAAUCCAGCAUCGCGUGGUACCAGUGCCGCUGGGCACACUGGCUUCACGCCGGCUCCGCCUCACCAGCAAGCGCAUUCCCAGAGGAGAAAAUGAGACACUGAGUGGGACUCAGGGAUUGCUCCAGGCCACACAGUCAGCAGGAGGCAAAGCCCAGAUUCAAAUGCAGAUUACUCAGCUCCACAAUCCACAUCCUCACAGGAGGCUGCACUCCUUGCCCAAGCGUCAGACAGGAGCAAAGAGAAAGAAGGCAACCAGCUGGCUACUUUCUUCCCUUCUUGGAUGCCUCCAACAGGAUAAAACACUAACUCAGAGAAGAAAUUUAACUGCAAAUUUGGUUAAUGACCAUGGAUUCCUAAUGAGAAGAAAAGCUAGACACUGAGAGUUUAGAAUAAACUCAAGAAUCUUAAAAAUUUUCCCAUGGAACUGCCUUUGCACCUCUAUAAAAAAUUAAUUGACCAUAUGCUUAUUUCACCAACUAGAACUUCCAAUAAAACAUUGAAUAGAAGUGAUGAGAGUGGAUAUAUUUGCCUUGUUCCUGAUUUUAGAUGAUAAACAUUUUGUCUUUCACUUUAGAUAUGAUGUUAGUUCUAGGGGCUUUUUGAAGAUGAGCAUUAUUAUGUUGCAAAGGUUCCAUCCUCCUUCUAGUUUGUGAGGAAAUUUUUAUCUUAAAUGGACAUUGAAUUUUAUCAAAUGCCUUCCCUGCGUCUAUUGAUAUGACCACAUGGUUUUUCUUAAGUCUAUUAGUAUGGUGAAUUACACUGAAGAUUUUUGAAUGGUGAACCAGACUUGCAUUCCCCCAAAUAAACUCUACUUACUUAU
rnacentral:lncRNA from 1 species